GAUGAAGAACGUAGCGAAAUGCGAUAAGUAAUGUGAAUUGCAGAAUUCAGUGAAUCAUCGAAUCUUUGAACGCACCUUGCGCCCCUUGGUUAUUCCAAAGGGCAUGCCUGUUUGAGUAUCAUGAACACCUCAACUCUUGUGGUUUCCCACAAUGAGCUUGGACUGUGGAGGUUUUGUUGGCCCUGUGGUCAGCUCCUCUCAAAUGGAUCAGCUUACCGGUGUUUGGUGGCAUUACGGGUGUGAUAACUAUCUACUCUCGUGGUCGUCUCCAAAUAACCUCCAGUGAUGGAGGUUCGCUGGAGCUUAUAAAUGUCUCUCCCCAGUGAAGACAGCCUUUGAACGUUCGAUCUAAAAUCAGGUAGGACUACCCGCUGAACUUAAGCAUAUCAAUAAGCGGAGGA
rnacentral:misc_RNA from 1 species